rnacentral:RNase_P_RNA from 1 species
UGACGGGAGCGAUUGGUCGCCCCGGCGGCGAGCCGGGGAGGAAAGUCCGGGCUCCACAGGGCAGGGUGUCCGGGCGAUGUCAAAGCCCGGAAGUCCUCUGCGAUAUCGGAGGACAUGGAUAGUGCCACAGAGAACAUACCGCCGAACGGCGCUCUUGCGGGCGCCGUGGCAAGGGUGAAAAGGUGGUGUAAGAGACCACCGGACCUGGAGCGAUCCAGGUUGCAAGGCAAACCCCCCCGGAGCAAGAUCAAAUAGGGAAUCGGAGGCGGCCCGCCUCAUCCGGAGCGGCGACGCUUCGGACGGUUCCGGGUAGAUCGCUCAGAGAAAUGACCGACACUUGAAAAAGUGAACAGAACCCGGCUUACGACUUCCGUCAGUUG